CCUACGGGGGGCAGCAGUGGGGAAUAUUGCACAAUGGGGGCAACCCUGAUGCAGCGACGCCGCGUGUGUGAAGAAGUAAUUCGUUAUGUAAAGCUCUAUCAGCAGGGAAGAAAAUGCCGGUACCUGAGUCCGAAGCCACGGCUAACUCCGUGCCAGCAGCCGCGGUCAUACGUAGGGGGCACGCGUUCUCCGGAUUUACUGGGUGUAAAGGGAGCGUAGACGGCAGGGCAAGUCUGGAGUGAAAGGCGGGGGCUCAACCCCCGGACUGCUCUGGAAACUGUACGACUGGAGUGCAGGAGAGGGGAGUAGAAUUCCAAGUGUAGCGGUGAAAUGCGUAGAGAUUAGGAGGAACACCAGUGGCGAAGGCAGCUUACUAAACGGUGACUGACAUUGAGGCGCGAAAGUGUGGGGAGCAAACAGGAUUAGAUACCCCAGUAGUC
rnacentral:rRNA from 1 species